rnacentral:rRNA from 1 species
GAAUAUAAAUAGCCGCAGAACUUUUACUGUGCUAAGGUAGCAUAAUCACUUGCCUUUUAAUUAAAGGAUAGAAUGAAUGGACAAACAAGUAUUAAACUAUUUCAAUUACAACAUAUAAAAUUUCAAUAAAAGUAAAAAUACUUUUAAUUAAAAGGAAGACGACAAGACCCUAUCGAACUUUACAUUAGUUAAGCUGGGGCGGCACAUUAAAAAAAUCUUAAUUUCAAUUUCACAACAAAUCUAAACAAAUUAAAUUUAACAAGUUACCGUAGGGAUAACAGCAUAAUAAAUUUUUAAAGCUCUCAUUUAAGAAUAAGAUUGUGACCUCGAUGUUGAAUUAAUAUACCUGUUUCAUAAGAUGCAAAAAUCUAACAAGGAAGUCUGUUCGACUUUUAAAAUAUUACAUGAUUUGAGUUCAGACCGGUGCAAGCCAGGUCGGAUUCUAUCUCCUCAUAAACAAUUUACAGUACGAAAGGACCUACGUUUAUUUAUAUUAUUUAGCAAAUUAUUGCAUUAGACUUAGAACCUAAAUACCUAAAUUAUACUUCUAAUAUUAAACUCCAUUAUCGUAGUAAUUUCAAUCUUAGUAAGAGUAGCCUUCUACACAAUUCUAGAACGAAAAAUUCUAAGAUAUAUUCAAACCCGAAAAGGACCAAAUAAAGUAGGAUUUAUGGGGAUCCUUCAACCUUUCAGAGACGCUAUCAAACUUUUUAACAAAUCUGUAAUUUUUACUAUUCCUAUAAACAAAAUUUUAAUUUUAGCAUCCCCUGCCUUAUCUUUUUUUAUAUCUCUCCUUAUUUGACCCUUAAUUCCUUUUGCUAAAUCAAACAUUUUCGAUAGUCCUUUCAAUACCUUAAUUUUAUUUAUUAUUUCAAGAAUCUCCGUAUAUUUUAUAGUCCUAGUGG